CCCCCACUGUACCUGGGUAUGAUGGAGAAGCCAAGAGAGCUGCUUACACCAGGCUGGAAGGCUGGGGAACCAGAGAGGCCUGUGACCGUGUGCCCUACUGCCCAGAAAAGCCCCUCUGUUGCAGGAGUGGAGGAGACCGUGCUGCAGAGAGAAGCUGCGGUACCAUGUAACAAGUCUGACUACCCUGAGAUCACC